rnacentral:lncRNA from 1 species
AUGAAGUACCCUACAAGGCUAGAAGACAAAGAUUUCAAAAAAUUUUGAAUUCCGCAUUUCAGAUCCGCUCAGAAAUUCAGCUAUAAAAGGCAGACCAUAUGAGAAGAAAGAUCAUCGAGAAAAAAAUUUCAGAUCCGCUCAGAAAUUCAGCUAUAAAAGGCAGACCAUAGGAGAAGAAAAAUCAUCGAGAAAAAACACAGAGCAAGAAAUCCUCUGAAAACCUUAAGCCAACUUUCCAUCCCAAAAAAUCUUUCUAAAACCACCUUGUAAAAUAUUCCCUUUAUGAAUACCCCAGUACUUAUUCUUCUAAACUUGUAAAAUAAAUAAAGUUUGUAUGCUUAGGAGUUGAUCGUUUUCAAUUCAGAAGUUCAG